GACGUAGGGUGCGAGCGUUGUCCGGAUUUAUUGGGCGUAAAGAGCUCGUAGGCGGCUCGUCGCGUCGGCUGUGAAAACCCGCGGCUUAACUGUGGGCUUGCAGCUGAUACGGGCGGGCUAGAGUUCGGUAGGGGAGACUGGAAUUCCUGGUGUAGCGGUGAAAUGCGCAGAUAUCAGGAGGAACACCCGUGGCGAAGGCGGCUCUCUGGGACGGUACUGACGCUGAGACGCGAAAGCGUGGGGAGCGAACAGG
rnacentral:rRNA from 1 species